AACUAGGUUUUACCAUGUUGGCCAGGCUGGUCUCCAACUUCUGACCUCAAAUGAUCGGUGGCCUCGGCCUUCCACAGUGCUUUAAUUACAGGUGUGAGCCACCACGCCCAACAUAGAUUUUUAAUUCUAUUGAGUCAAUGAGUCUUUUUAGGAGAUUGAUAUAGUCCAUAUUUUUUCUUUUUUAUAAGUUAUUUUCGCCACUCAUUUGUUUCCCAUCCCACCUCCAUUUUUAAUGACUUGAAAUCCUGGCCAGUAUUUUAUUUAUGUUACCUAGACAAUGUGGACAUGAAAUUAUAGGUAAAGGAUUUAGUAUUUUCUGUGAUAUGUCAAAUUUGUACUUGGAGAAAGAGGGAAAAUUUACAGUAUCUAGAAGGCUCAUUCUCCAAAAUGAUUUCUUUUGUCUUCUGUUGUAAGGUGGAGGUUGUACAAAAUCCAAAAGGAUACACAGAAAAUGUUUGGCAGAAGGACAUCUGCAGUACCUUCAUCCAGAAGAGUCAGUUGGCAGAUUGGUGGCUUUAAAAAAUAGUUUACAAAAAAAAAAAAUUUACUUUUUUUUUUUUUUUUUUUAAAAAUAGAUUGCUUUUAGACAUUUACCAGAUGUUUAUCUUAGGAAGAUAAAAGGUCAGAAAAGAGUCUUGAAAACAGAAUUUGAAAGCUUUUGAGAUCAAUAAAAUUGUAAUAAUUUAUCAGAACUGCAGGGAAAGUGGUGGAGAUUGAUGUUGGCCUAAUAAGUAGUAGAAUCUCAGAAGUAUUGGAAAGCACUGAGAGUAUGAGCUUAGAGCUCCUUGUUGUUAUCUUACAGGGUUUACAACAUCUUCAGGAAGUGAGGUAAAGUGUCAUCAAAGCAGGAAGUGAGAGUCAGGACUUAGACAUUUUCUUCUCAUACACUGACUCAUGACAGUAAUUAUGUUUUUUAAACUUCCACAUCUUUAGAAAACAAAAGAGAAUUCCUACUUGGGGAGGUAUGGUGAGGAUUGGAGAUCUUGGCUCCCCAAAUAUCUUUCAUCCAAUGAUUUAAAGUAUUUUUAUGCCAAAAACAGCAUCUUAUUUCAAGUAUUUCAUGUUCUGUAGUCACAGUUGUAGAUGUUUCCAUCAAAAAAAUUAUUGGAAAAGUAAACUAGUUAUGGUAUCUAUAGAAUUUUUAGAACAAUUACCUGGGAGUACAAUUUAAAGGAAAAUUCAAAACUAACUACUUCAGUAUGACCUUGAAGUUACUACACCUCAUUCUUCAGCUUCCCCUUCUGUGAAAUGGGAAUAAUUAUACCUUAUUUACUAAAAUAAGAACCUCAGCUUGGGGUCUGGCCCAUUCUAAGGCCCUUAAAUUCUAGUUGAAUCUAAGAAAAGUAGCUUUGAAGAAAAACAUACCUAACAUCUAAGUAAUGCUUAGUUCAAAUAUCAACAUGCUUAUCAGAGUACCUUACAAACUUACCUCAGUGUUCUCAUUCCUUAAAGUGAAUGUUAAAUAUUUUAAUUGUAACCAUUCAAAUUUUUCUCAAAAUAUGCAUUAAUUUUUAUUUUAGCAAGGUGAAAUGUUAAUGCACUGUCUCCUAAGCCACUGUUUGUAUAACUUAAGGGUGGUGAAUGUUGUCUUUAAUAAAUAACCCUUAUUAAAAUAAAGAGAACUGUAUAAUAAGUUAGUCAUGAAGUUACCAUAGUAGUUAUACAAAGAACCAUUAUAACCAAACCUUUAUUGAUUUUAUAAUAUUAACUUACCUUUUUUUAAAACAUAUCUGGGAUUAUUUUAUUUAAUGAUGCUGUCUGCUUUCAAUGUUGUCGGAGUAAACAGUUGCCAGCUUGUUACUACAAAGCCAAUGUUGUAUUAAAAAUUGCAUGUUUGGAAAGGCAGAUGGGUAAAAGAUUUGUGACCUUAGUUUUUUUUAUUUAGCACUUUAAAAUUCUACCAGAUUGUUGGUAGCUUAGGAAUCCUGUGUCUUUUAUGAAGGCAGAAGGAAAACUGUUACAUCAGUAUUUGACUAGAUGUUAAAUGCCUAUAAAAACAUUAGGGUAUUUACAUAUCCUGUGGCUGAAAAAUAGUUUCUGUUUAAAUUUCUGCAAUUAAAAGCUUUUCUUUUGUUAAUUGACUAAAAUUAACUAAAUCAUUGGACAUAAUAAUGCUUGCUUUGCAAAGAGACUUAUUUUUUAGGGUUUGUUAUAAUUUAGAUAAUUAUGUCAAAUUUCAACAGAAGUUUUGUAUUCUUUUGUAAAUAGCAAGUUAUCAAGGUUAGAUUUAUUGUAUUUAAUUUACUAUGGUGAACAGAUGGCUUGGUCUUCACUUGCACCUUAAUACAAAAAAUAUAUAGUGUGAAGAUUUACUUGAUUUAAAUAGAAGAAAAUAAACAUAUUUCUAAAGAACGUUUAUUUUCUCUCUAGGUAUGCAUCCAUGUGGAAAGGAUGUCUGACACUUUAUACUGGAAGAGGUGGUGAACUUCAAAAAAUUGGGGAUCUAGGUGCGGUGCAGGCAGCCGCAAUGCGAGAUUCCAUACACUACUACCCUGGUAAUGAUCUCCACCCUGACCUGGAGGAGCCAUCCUCUCUAGGGGUGUAAGGUAAUUCAGCCCCCAUGUUAGCCUAGACAUUGGGUUGUAUUCAUAAAGUACGGUAUAGGCGAUGAGCCAAAUCAUCAGUCCAUUCUGUUUGGUUAAUGCUCAGCCAUCUACUUAAUGCCUGUCAAAUUGGAAGAUAUUUAAAGAGAGAAGCCACAAAUGGCACCAAAUAAAAAAAGGAAAAGUUUUUUUUUGCACUGAGGGAAUAAAAUACUUAUUUGGAGAAACUGUGGUUAAGAAUAAAGGAAAAGAAAUGAUCAUGCUGGGUUUUAAAGAUGAGAAACGUUUAACACUUUGCCUUUGUUAGAGGGAGAGUUAGGAUUCACUCUGAGUAGUAUUAAUGGGGUUAUGUGUUAUGAAAGGUCUGUUACUGAAAGGUUCAGGAUUCUGUCCUGACCUUCAUGUAUUUGUACAGAGGUGUUGAUAACAGAGGUUAGUUGUAUGAAGAACUAUUAGAGAUAACUCAUUUCUUAAUGACUGCUCUUUGUCAGGGUCAGUCUAGGAUUUACCCAAACUGGUUCUGAUUUGUCUUCUUUGGUAAGGUGAGGAGCUAAUAAAAUGCUUCUGUGUAAUGUUACUACACAUCAUAUGGCCAACUUACAAGAAGCGCUUGGAUAAACUGGUGACUGUGUAACCUGUUGUUUUUAUUUAUUGCCUAGAAACCACUCUUAACCCUAAAUGAUUAUCUUUGCAGAUCCACAGUGAUUGAUCAAAAGAGGGACUGAAUGGGAGUGGGUGAUGGAUCGAUGCAAAUCCAUUACCACUGCUGGAGAAACCAUCCUGGAACCCUAAACAUGGUUCACUCUCAUGUUAUUUUUCCUUUGAUCAACUUUUGUGGAAAAAUGGGACAGAGAUGUGUUUGUGUCCUUGAGUUUUGAUAUGAUUUAUUUUUUUCAGCACUAAAUAAUUUAAAUACAAAAUAGAAUGUUAUGUAUCUUGUAGACAGUCAAAUAUUUGAUGUUUUUAUGGGACAUAAUUGUUUAGGAAGUUUUUGUUGUAAGUGAAGAGUUAGUUUGUUGCUCUUAAUUUGUUUGACACAUAAGUUCUUCAGUCCUAAAAGCUGGAGAUGUUAUAUGAAGAAGGGUUGGUUACUUUAUUUCAGAAGUUAUUUAAUUUGUUCUUUAUUUUCUUUCAGAUUUUGUAUGGUUUAUUCAGAAGUGCCAAAUUUCAGUGAACCCAACCCAGAUUAUCGAGGACAUCAGAACAAAGGGGCACAGAGUGAACAGAAGAAUAAUUCCAUGAAUAGUAAUAUGGGUACAGGUACAUUUGGACCAGUGGGAAAUGGUGUUCACACUGGCCCUGAAUCAAGGGGACACCAGUUUUCACAUGCUGGCAGAAGCAAUGGCUGGGGACUUAGAAAUCCACAACUACCAGGAACAGCUAAUCAAACAGUGAUGACCACAAUAAGUAAUGGCAGGGACCCUCGGAGAGCCUUUAAAAGAUGACCUAGGCCCAAUACUCACAUGUAGUUUUUAUACUACAUGCCCUACUUGAACACUUAUUGCACUUUUAUUUAUUGUUAACUGUGAAAAGUAUGUCCUUUAUUGGAUUUCCUUUUGUAUUCUUGGUUUGUUAAGAAGAAUGGUUUGUUUUUAUAGCAAAACUGUUAAGCUGCUCAAGUCUCCUAUUGAAGAAUGGGAACACUGAAAAGUAGGGGCAUUUAUUUUUAGAGCAAAAAGACUGUUGGAGAGCCUCUAAAAAACCUGCACCCAUUUCAUGGGUGAGUUACUUAAGACAUCAGCUUUAUAGCCUCUAUGAGUCUUUAUCUUCUGUAUACGUUUUGUAAUAUUUAACACAAGGCUUAAUGGGAGCUGUUCUUUUGUCUUAUAUUCAGAUAUUGCCAACUAAAGCAAUAACCAUCAAAAAACACAAGAACUUUUCAAUGCUAGCUGUAAGUUUUGAGUGUUUGUGGCUCUCGGAAUGAUUGACUUAAUUGAGCGACUGCCAUUAAGAUUUUCCAAGGACUGACUCGUCCUAAAUUUUUGUUGUACUACCAAAAAACAGAUUCCUUAUCAGAAUUUGGAAUAGAAUGUGAUCUAUAUUGCAACAAGUAAUUUUAAAAGAAAACUACGUUUAUUUUAGAGUAGUAUUCCUAAUAUGUAUUAUCAAUAUCAACUUUGUGGAUUACAUUGGAAGAAUAUUGAAACUGGGGCCUUGGAUAUUUUUUGAAACCACCAUGUUAAAUAUUGAAGUAUAAUUUGAGGGAGUUAUAAAGUUACAAACAUUGAUCUGAUUAUUUUCAAAAAUAAUUGUGAACAUACUGGAGGUGAGUCAAAUUGAAUUCAUACAGUAACAUGCAGUCUUAAGUCCUAGUACUCAGCCUGGAGUAAAAAUCCUGGGUACUAACUUUGAGAGGCAUUAGUGUGUAUAUUGUCAAAGUUUCUGAACACAGUUCACAUAGCCUUAUUAGUAGAAGUUUAAGAAAUGGCUCUAUCAAACAAGCAAUUACAGCUUUAUUCAGAAAUGUAAAGGUGGAAUUUAUGUACAUGUCAUAAGUGGUACCCACGUCCCUUUUUACUGUAGGGUGAAGAACUUAGGAUUUAACUCUUUUUUAAUAUUAUCUCUUGAAUAAAACUUGUGUUAAUGUUAACAAACCUA